rnacentral:rRNA from 1 species
UACGUAGGGGGCUAGCGUUAUUCAGAUUUACUGGGCGUAAAGCGCGUGUAGGCGGCUGGCUAAGUGUGAUGUGAAAUCCUCGGGCUCAACCCGAGAACUGCAUUGCAAACUGGUCUAGCUAGAGUGCAGGAGAGGGAAGCGGAAUUCCAGGUGUAGCGGUGAAAUGCGUAGAUGUCUGGAGGAACACCAGUGGCGAAGGCGGCUUCCUGGCCUAUAACUGACGCUGAGACGCGAAAGCGUGGGGA